rnacentral:rRNA from 1 species
GUGUGACUGCGUACCUUUUGUAUAAUGGGUCAGCGACUUAUAUUCUGUAGCAAGGUUAACCGAAUAGGGGAGCCGGAGGGAAACCGAGUCUUAACCGGGCGUUAAGUUGCAGGGUAUAGACCCGAAACCCGGUGAUCUAGCCAUGGGCAGGUUGAAGGUUGGGUAACACUAACUGGAGGACCGAACCGACUAAUGUUGAAAAAUUAGCGGAUGACCUGUGGCU